rnacentral:rRNA from 1 species
AUUGAACGCUGGCGGCGUGCUUAACACAUGCAAGUCGAACGUGAAAGUCCUUCGGGGCGAGUAAAGUGGCGCACGGGUGAGUAACGCGUGGAUAAUCUACCCUUAAGAUGGGGAUAACGGCUGGAGACGGUCGCUAAUACCGAAUACGCUCCCGAUUUUAUCGUUGGGGGGAAAGAUGGCCUCUGCUUGCAAGCUAUCGCUUAAGGAUGAGUCCGCGUCCCAUUAGCUAGUUGGCGGGGUAACGGCCCACCAAGGCGACGAUGGGUAGCCGGUCUGAGAGGAUGACCGGCCACACUGGAACUGGAACACGGUCCAGACUCCUACGGGAGGCAGCAGUGGGGAAUAUUGCGCAAUGGGCGAAAGCCUGACGCAGCGACGCCGCGUGAGGGAUGAAGGUUCUCGGAUCGUAAACCUCUGUCAGGGGGGAAGAAACCCCCUCGUGUGAAUAAUGCGAGGGCUUGACGGUACCCCCAAAGGAAGCACCGGCUAACUCCGUGCCAGCAGCCGCGGUAAUACGGAGGGUGCAAGCGUUAAUCGGAAUCACUGGGCGUAAAGCGCACGUAGGCGGCUUGGUAAGUCAGGGGUGAAAUCCCACAGCCCAACUGUGGAACUGCCUUUGAUACUGCCAGGCUUGAGUACCGGAGAGGNUGGCGGAAUUCCAGGUGUAGGANUGAAAUCCGUANAUAUCUNGGAGGAACACCGGNUGGCGNAAGCGGCCACCUGGACGGUAACUGACGCUNANGUGCNNAAGCGUGGGUAGCANACAGGANUAAGAUACCCUGGUAGUCCACGCUGUAACGAUGGGUGCUGGGUGCUGGGAUGUAUGUCUCGGUGC